CUAUGUACCCUCCAAUUCAUCAGGUUUGUACUUUGAUGCAAUCUGGUUGUUGGGUUCCUAAUGUUUCUCGUUCUGUUAUUUUCUUUUUUCGUGGGAUUGUAUUUUUGGCUGUUGAUUUUGUUCCUUCUUUUAUGGAGAAUAGAUGCAAGUUUGGUGUUCAGUUUGGUUUUUAUUUAAGUGGCUUGAAUUGAACUCAGGAACAAUCUUUUGUUGUUCAGUUGGUUGAUUUGGUUCCAAUUGAAGUUGGAGUGAAUUGAAGGGGCAUCUGCGAUUUGAAGUUGUGGGAUUAGAGAAUUUGAUGGUAUUUGUGUAUCAUUGUGGCGUAUUACUUUGACUUGUAUGUUAAGAGUGAAGGAAUUUUUAGUGCAAAAAUAUUCAACAUGUGGUUCUUUGCCUUACCUUUAUACAACAUGCGAUCUGCUUUGUAGUUUUCAGUCAUAGACAAUUAUUAUUAAACUUCUUGAUGAAAAUUAAUACAAGCCUUCUGGAAGUGAACUAAGAAGUAGCAUGCAUUGGGCUCUCUAUUUGUCAAUCCCAAGUUGUGUUUAGCACAUAGCAUAACAUAUUCCUUCCCAGUUUCCCUUUCAAAACAACCAUCCAAAGGAAACUUUGAUGUCAAGUAGGAAAGUCACAGCCUGUUUGCAUAAGUUACUUAGAAUUCUUGAUGUAAAUUCUAGGGAUGCUAAGUGUGAGAAAUCGGUAGAUUGCUAGGUUUUGUUGUUUAUAUUUGUACUUUACAUUUUACAGUAGAAAACCUUUCCCUCACCAAAAUCCCGAAGAGCUAAAGAGAUGGAUUCAUCACAUUUAUUUGUGUGAGGCUGUGACCAUAUAUAAAAGAGAGAUAAUGCUGGGUCUUAUUUGAAAUAUUGGGACAAUUGAUAAAACAUGGAAGGAGGUUUUGAGUAAAGACAUGAAUUAUGAAUAACUAAAGGAGUAUAGACUUUUGGUGGCAUCUGUGGGCUUUGGAUGACACAUAUAUCAGAUGCCCUGGACUCUCGGUCACCUGAUAGGGAGCCAUUUUUGCUCACUAGCAUCGUUGAAUGAGAGUUGUGAAUAUCUUUGGCCUCACUCACCAUCAUAACUGUUUUGCUAUGUCUUAAAAUUCCAUCAUGCUAGCUCAGAAGUUUUUU
rnacentral:misc_RNA from 1 species